rnacentral:rRNA from 1 species
AGCGAACGUUAGCGGCGGGCCUAACACAUGCAAGUCGAACGGGCAGUAGCAAUACUGUCAGUGGCGCACGGGUGAGUAACGCGUAGGUAAUCUACCCUUUGGCGGGGGAUAACGUUCCGAAAGGGACGCUAAUACCGCAUAAGACCACGACCUUUUUCGGGGGUUGGGGGAAAAGGUGGCCUCUUCUUGAAAGCCAUCACCGAAGGAUGAGCCUGCGUCCCAUCAGCUAGUUGGUAGGGUAAUGGCCUACCAAGGCGAAGACGGGUAGCUGGUCUGAGAGGAUGAUCAGCCACACUGGCACUGGAACACGGGCCAGACUCCUACGGGAGGCAGCAGUGGGGAAUAUUGGCAAUGGGCGCAAGCCUGACCCAGCCACGCCGCGUGAGCGAUGAAGGCCUUCGGGUUGUAAAGCUCUGUGGGAGGGCGAAGCAGAAGGUGCUAAUAGUACUCUGUUUGACGGUACCUU